rnacentral:RNase_P_RNA from 1 species
GAGUUGGCCGAGGUAACCGCUGCUUUGUCGUAAGUAGUAACUUGUAAAGUUAUUAAACGGGCAAAGGGGAGGAAAGUCCGGGCUUCAUAGGGUAGGGUGCCAGGUAACGCCUGGGGAGCGUGAGCUCACGACAAGUGCAGCAGAGAGAAGACCGCCUAAGUUUGUUUCGACAAACCGGUAAGGCUGAAAGGGUGCGGUAAGAGCGCACCGCGCUACUGGUAACAGUAUGCGGCGAGGUAAACUCCACCCGAAGCAAGGCCAAAUAGGCCCCUGUGGACGCGACCCGCGUUUGGGGGCGGGUAGGCUGCUUGAGCCUAAGAGCGAUCUUAGGCCUAGAGGAAUGGUUACCACUCGCAAGAGUACAGAACCCGGCUUAUGCGGCCAACUCCACC